UACAUAUGGGGCAAGCGUUGUUCGGAAUUACUGGGCAUAAAGGGUGCGUAGGUGGUCUAUUAAGUCAGGGGUGAAAUCCCGCGGCCCAACCGUGGAACGGCCUUUGAUACUGAAGAUCUUGAGUUCGGGAGAGGUGAGUGGAACUGCGAGUGUAGAGGUGAAAUUCGUAGAUAUCGCAAGAACACCAGUGGCGAAGGCGGCUCACUGGCCCGG
rnacentral:rRNA from 1 species